GCUGUCGAGGCUGCGUAGCCAGGAGCUGACGGCUGGGUGGCUGCGGGCCUUCUGCAGGUCUCCCACGUUAGGGCCCAGCAGUGUGGCCACGCUGC
rnacentral:pre_miRNA from 12 species